UACUUUCCGUGAACCCAGCUUCCAU
rnacentral:piRNA from 1 species